rnacentral:rRNA from 1 species
UACGUAGGGGGCAAGCGUUGUCCGGAUUUACUGGGCGUAAAGAGCGCGCAGGCGGUCGUUUAAGUCGAAUGUGAAAGCCCCCGGCUCAACUGGGGAGGGUCAUUCGAUACUGAUCGACUUGAAGGCAGGAGAGGGAAGUGGAAUUCCGGGUGUAGUGGUGAAAUGCGUAGAUAUCCGGAGGAACACCAGUGGCGAAGGCGACUUCCUGGCCUGUUCUUGACGCUGAGGCGCGAAAGCUGGGGGAGCAAAC